UCCCCGUUGAAGCGAGGCAGUCCGUCCAGAGUGCUCCCUACUCUCGUAGGGGUGGCAACAGGACGCAAGGGUUGCGCUCGUUGCGGGACUUAACCCAACAUCUCACGACACGAGCUGACAACAGCCAUGCAGCACCUGUGUAGGGCCCAAAAGGACACCGCAUCUCUACGGCUUUUCCCUACAUGUCAAGCCCAGGUAAGGUUCUUCGCGUUGCCUCGAAUUAAGCAACAUGCUCCGCUGCUUGUGCGGGCCCCCGUCAAUUCCUUUGAGUUUUAGCCUUGCGGCCGUACUCCCCAGGCGGGGCGCUUAAUGCGUUAGCUACGGCACGGAAUCCGUGGAAGGGAUCCCACACCUAGCGCCCACCGUUUACGGCGUGGACUAC
rnacentral:misc_RNA from 1 species